AAGCAGAUGUAGUUUAGAAAAUGGUUUUGAUCUUUGAAAUUCAUGAAGAUUUCGUCCAUGAAAGAUUAUGCAAAUUCACGCCUGAAAUUGAAGCGAACCGAAAUUUGAGCUUUUUGUUUACAUAAGUUUGAGUGAUAUUUAAAAGUAAAAGUCCGUCUUCCUAAAGCGAGAACAUUGUUCACUGAAGGGAAAGGUUUCUUCGCUUUAUCAUGAUUCAAACUUUUUGGUGAUGUAUUACUGAUCGUACGAGAAAAAUCUUGGUUCGGUAAGUUUUUUUAUUUAUCAAUUGCCAUUUAACCGUCGUUUGGGGAAGUUUCCCAGGUAUUAUAUUCUUCUCAUGUGAAUUUUACCAAUUUGCAGAAGAGAAAGAAAAGCAACGCAAACGAAAAAGAUCGAGAGGAAGAAGGAACUGAAAAGACUGGCAAAAUUAAACAACGUCCUUCAUCUUCACUGCCGGGAUUUCCAAGCUGUACCAAGGAGAGAAAGAAAGGCAACGCAGACGAAAAAGAUCGAGAGGAAGAAGGAACUGAGAAGGCUUGCAAAAUUAAACAGCGUCCUUCAUGUUCACUGCCGGAAUUUCCACGCUACACCAAGGAUCAACUGAAGGCGAUUUAUGGAACAAGAGAAGAGAGAAAAAUCGAUAAAAAAAAUGAUCUUGAGGAUUCAGAGUCAAGUGAAGAAGACUGAGGAUUGCAUUCACUCGUGCAAUUUACGUUAUAAACUUAGUUGAUAAUACUAAAUUACUCUGUUAUACUCUUCCACUGACGCAGCACCUAAGUUUCUUUACAAAUUUACCCCCUUUAUUAAACAAACGAUUGUUUAUUUGUCGAAA